AACGAACGCUGGCGGCAGGCCUAACACAUGCAAGUCGGGCGAGGACUUCGGUUCUAGCGGCGGACGGGUGAGUAACGCGUGGGAAUGUGCCCUUCUCUACGGAAUAGCCCUGGGAAACUGGGAGUAAUACCGUAUACGCCCUAUUGGGGAAAGAUUUAUCGGAGAAGGAUCAGCCCGCGUUGGAUUAGGUAGUUGGUGGGGUAAUGGCCUACCAAGCCGACGAUCCAUAGCUGGUUUGAGAGGAUGAUCAGCCACACUGGGACUGAGACACGGCCCAGACUCCUACGGGAGGCAGCAGUGGGGAAUCUUAGACAAUGGGGGCAACCCUGAUCUAGCCAUGCCGCGUGAGUGAUGAAGGCCUUAGGGUUGUAAAGCUCUUUCAGCUGGGAAGAUAAUGACGGUACCAGCAGAAGAAGCCCCGGCUAACUCCGU
rnacentral:rRNA from 1 species